UCCUGCUGUCACAUCAAAAAGCUUCACUUUGGUCCAACAUCUACAUGUUAACAUGAAACACAGACAGACUCAGAACAUCUGGAACAUCUGCACUUUGACCCAAACUGUUAUAGCAGGAUAUUUUCUGCAUAUUUCUUAUGUUGGACCUGUUUGAACUGUAAACGACCUGUAAUCAUCUGUAAAUGGUGUGAGACACACUGAGGCCACCUACAGGGCAGCUGGGGAACAGCAGGGAUCUGAAAUCAUACGAGACGUUAGUGAGUGAGAAGAACAAACGGACUUAAGAUGGCUCGAAGUGAUCAAAGUUGAUCUAAAACAGAAGAUAAAUCCACUGAUUCUUUGUAAAGUUCAUCUGCUGCUCACAUGAAUCCAUGAAAGAUUUAUUUCACUGAAUGUUUCUUCAAAGCUCAUUUCAACCUGUUGAAGUCAUGAAUGAAAGUGCAGACUGAGAGUGGAUCACAUGAUGUUUGAGGUGUGUCAUGUGACAUGUUCAGUAUUGUCACACAUGUCUAGAUUGUCCCUGAUAUCAUAACUGCUCAAACACUGAUGAUUAUAUUUGAAGAAUUAUUCCUGAUGGCAGCAAAGUUUGAAUGGAGCUCUCUGUCUGUGCUGAUUUGUCGCCCUCUGGAGGUCAAAGCACAAACCUACAGGGCAGCUGGGGAACAGCAGGGAUCUGAAAUCAUACGAGAUGUUAGUGAGAAGUUAGAACAAACGGACUUAAGAUGGCUCGAAGUGAUCAAAUUGGUCUAAAACAGAAGAUAAAUCCAAAGCAGCAUCAGAUGAAUGUUACCAUUUCCAGUUACGGUGCCCUUCAUCUAAUAUGGAAAUGUGUUGUUUUUUUUUGCCGUGUUGUUGUUCUUCCUAUUGUGUUUAGGCCAGAGAUGCUCUUCAAACAGCGGACAGACAUGACCACAUUACAAGAACAUGGUGUGAGUCCGAUUUGAUAUUCCAGUCAACGCUGAGAGACCUUAACCAGGAAGUCAGAGGUCAGCUGAUGCUGCGAGCAGGAAGUGAACCAAGGGAAAGGUCCACUCUACUCAAUCUCAAAGAAAAUAUGCUGACGGACAGGGAAUCAGUUGCUGUACGAUGACAUCAUCUUGAUGUUGACGAGGAGGGCGAGAAAAACUAGUUUUGUCCUGCAGAUGGCGAUCUUGCACCGUGUUCAGAGAGCCGACACUUUGAUGGUGCUGCUCUACUCAGCUUACUUUAGCCUGGGUUGGACUCUAUAUGAGCAGCUUCCACUCUGGUUUCACUCUUAAAC
ensembl:lncRNA